rnacentral:lncRNA from 1 species
GAGCUCCUGUGUGAGGACUGCGCUGACGUCAUGGUCACAGCGUGACAUCGUCUGCCGUAUGUGAAAAGCUCCGAGCAUCACCCAGGCCGUGUGUGUUAUUCAAAACCUCAGUAACAUUUGCUAAAAACUUGCAUGGGCUUUUUUUUUUUUUUUUCUUUCUUUUUUUCCCCUUAACAGAUCCGGAGAAGUUUAGCCAAGCAGCUUAAACAUCUCACUACCAAUUUAGAAGAUGAGCUGGAAGGUUUUGGACCGUGGUGUGUAAUUCACCUGGAUUGCAACAGUGUGUGCUGGUCUGGAAAAAAGUGUGCCAUUGAACCCAGAGUUUCAAUGCCAUUGCCCUCGUCUGCCCUUUCUAAAAGUAUCUCCGAAAAUGAGGUUAUUUUUGAAGGACAAUGUUAUAACCAACUUGGCUUCAGCAUGCCUUGCCACAACAAUGCCUUUAAGUGUCACAUGCUGGCUGGCUGAGCCAGUGACACUGUAUUUCCCUGUGCCCAGUAAGGAUGAAAGGCUCUGAACCAAGUCAUGUACUGGAUGGAGAGUAUUAAAGACAUGGAAAUGUGGAAGAAUGUGCUGAAGAAGAGGCUAGAUUAACUCUCAAUACUUUUAGCCUUUAUUAGGAAAGGUAGGUUUGGGUCCUCUUUUUUUUUCUUAUAUUUCUGUAAAUGUGAUUAAUUUCAAAUAGAGCUGCUCUUAUUUAGAGGAAGAAGAGCUUUGAAUUCACUGAGAUUUCACCAAGGUGCUUUUUGGUGGGUCUAAGCUGUUUACUAAGUAAAUUGGGUGGGAUGGUAACAGUUGUUACAGAACCCCUUAGAGCAUGUUUUUUUCCAUCUCCUAGCAUCUGUAAUAAGUAGAUUAUGAACAUAAAAGCCUUCCCUGGUACAGUGUUGGGAACUCUUGACAGAGGUGAAAAGCACUCUCUGUUCACAGCCCACAUGGGGCUCUGACCUCUGUCAUGCUUUUCAUCCAUCAAACGUCGCUAGGUAGAGUUUAAAGAAAUAGGAAGUACUGUCUGAGGCUAGGAAAUGAGACCACUUACUUUGUAGUGAUCGUGGCUCUCUGAGUCUCCAUACGGACUUCGGUAUCCCCAAAAAGCUAAAAUUUCAUUUUUAGGCUGACCUUGGAACUAGGGAUGGGAGGCUGCUUGUAGAAAUCUUGUGGGCAGCCAGCCGGACUACUGCAGUGCUAAGGAAAGAAGCCAUCCUCCCUUGGACUGCACCCCAAGCAGACCCAGCCUAGGGAUGGAAAACCAGCAUUCCUCCUCGGAGAAGCCCAAAUUUCCACUGGUUAAUUCCUGCUGUAUUGCACCACUUUGGGGGCCAUAGCAUGACAGGAGAAGCGAGGGCAUCGCUGCCCAGAGCUGGGACAUGUGUGGGUCAGCUAACCUGUGCUCUGAGCAAUUCCUCUCACAAAACACCUGUCUUACGACAAAGGCACAUAUAGCCCUGUCCCUCAACAUUUAAAACUCUGACUCUUGGUAUAGGAAAAGCCUCCAAAUCAAGGCCAUGUAUGGUAUAGUUGUGAAGAGAGUGGUGAGCUGGUGGAAAUGGCACUGCCAGUGAUGUAGCAACUCUGAUAUUGGGCUACCAGUCCAGUUGUCCCUGGGAUUUUAACGCCACUGCUGAGUUUCGAUCUGACAAAUGAACCUUAAAACUCAAUUUAUGCAGAAAUGACUGUUUAAAUCUGGUUACUUCUCCUUUCUUUGUGCAGGUGGCUUUUCUAGGUUGUCUGCUUUUUCCACGAUGACUUCUAGGCACUGCUAGGGGGGACUAGGUUGUCCCUUCCCAGCAGAGCCCUGAGCACACGGGUAGGUAUCCUCCAGGCAGGGCUGCAGGAUGCUUCUUAAUCUGGAAAUGGGGAAAAACACCCACCAUGAGAGCGUUUGCAGUGCUUUACUAAAUAUGUAAUAGAUACUAAAGUCUCCAGGACUUUGGAAUCACAUGGACUGACUUUUCGUGCAAUGCUAUAUAGUAUUUAGGUAGAAGGUUAAAAGUACACUUACUCUAAAAUAAACCUAUACUGUAACAUGGAGGCA